CCUACGGGAGGUAGCAGUAAGGAAUAUUGGUCAAUGGGGGCAACCCUGAACCAGCCAUGCCGCGUGCAGGAAGACGGCCCUACGGGUUGUAAACUGCUUUUAUACGGGAAUAAACCUCUCUUCGUGAAGAGAGCUGAAUGUACUGUAAGAAUAAGGAUCGGCUAACUCCGUGCCAGCAGCCGCGGUAAUACGGAGGAUCCAAGCGUUAUCCGGAUUUAUUGGGUUUAAAGGGUGCGUAGGCGGCCUAUUAAGUCAGGGGUGAAAGACGGUGGCUCAACCAUCGCAGUGCCCUUGAUACUGAUGGGCUUGAUUACACUUGAGGUAGGCGGAAUGUGACAAGUAGCGGUGAAAUGCAUAGAUAUGUCACAGAACACCAAUUGCGAAGGCAGCUUACUAAGGUGUUAAUGACGCUGAGGCACGAAAGCGUGGGGAUCAAACAGGAUUAGAUACCCUGGUAGUCCACGCCCUAAACGAUGAAUACUCGAUGUUAGCGAUAUACAGUUAGCGUCAAAGCGAAAGCGUCAAGUAUUCCACCUGGGGAGUACGCCCGCAAGGGUGAAACUCAAAGANAGUGCGNGNGAGAGAGACGACGACGACGAGAGGAGGAG
rnacentral:rRNA from 1 species